rnacentral:rRNA from 1 species
GACGAACGCUGGCGGCGUGCUUAACACAUGCAAGUCGAACGGAAAGUCCCUGCUUUCAGUGUACUCUAGUUGCGAACGGAUGGGUAACACGUGGGUGGUCUGCCCUUCACUUCGGGAUAAGCCUUGGAAACUGUGUCUAGUACCUGAUAGGAGCCAUUUUUAGUGGGAUGGUUGUAAAGUUUUUUCGGUUUAGGAUGAGCUCGCGGCCUAUCAGCUUGUUGGUGGGGGAAUGUCCUACCAAGGUGGCCACGGGUAGCCGGCCUCAGAGGGUGGACGGCCACCUUGGGACUGAGAUACGGCCCCGAUUCCUACGGGAGGACGAAGUGGGGAAGACUGACCAAUGGGCGCAAGCCUGAUGCAGAGAGGCCGCGUGGGGGAUGACGGUCUUGGGGUUGUAAAAUAAUUUCGCUAGGGACGAAGCUUUUUGUGACGGUACCUAGAUAAGAAGCACCGGCUAACUACGUG